CCCUGCAUCCCAAUUAUGCUCAUGAGUAUCGAAUUACGUCAAACUCAAACACAUAUUCAUAUCAAUUUUCGAUUAACCAAUGAUGACUUUGAUGAUGAAGCAUUAGAAACUCUUUCUAAUCUCCUUCUUGCUUUUGACCAAAAAAUUUUUUCUGAGUUAUCUAGAGAUGAGAAUUCAUAGGAUGCGAUCUCCUCUUACUAAGAGUGAUCGAUUCUAUAUUGACCUACUCAUAACCUUCAUACAUACUCUACCAUAUCCAGAACAUCCCAUAUAUUUC
rnacentral:lncRNA from 1 species